rnacentral:lncRNA from 1 species
UUGCUUUAAUAUGAUAAGAAAUGCGAAUAAAAUUUAAAAAUGCACUUCAUUUUCUUCUUGGAAAUAAAGUGUAAUAUAAAAUAUUUAUUUAAAAAGGAAAAAAAAAAAUUAUAAUGUUACGCAAGUGUAUAUAUGUCAAGUGAAUAUGAACAAGCGCGUGUACAAAAGCAUGGCUUUACAUUUAUUUAAAAACAAUACAACAAAAAGUGUUUAUGUUUUGUAUGUUUAAAAUAUAUUACAUAUAAAUGUUUAUGUAAAUAUAUAUACAUGUGCAUAUACAUUCUGAGUAAGCUGAGCAAGCACAAACAUACUUCAUUCCUUACAAAAAAUAAGUUGCUUUAAUUUAAGUAUAAGCACAAUUCUUUCAAUUUUUUUUUUUUUGUUUACUUUGAAGAGUACAAAAUUUUUUUAAUUUUUUUUUUUUUAUUUUACUUUUUUUUUUUUUUUAAAUAUUUUUUUACCAAAAUAUAUUUUUUACAAUAUACAUAUGAGCAUUAGCUAUAUGUACAUGUAUAAUGCCUAUAUAAUCAUAUAAUGCUUAUUUGAUUUUUGUCAAAAUGGUAAAACUUAAUUAUAAAUUGUUCUUCGGUUUGAGAAGUAUAAAUCCUCAUAUAUAUAAUGCUAAAAUUAACUAUAUAAAUACCAAAAGUAUAGGAAAGUUUCCUAUUAUAUAUAAAGAAUUUGCUACUGUAAAAGGUACUAGUAGCAGUAAUAGUACUAAUAAAAAAAUAGUAGUUGGAAAUGCAGAUGGAAAAAAUUUAAAAAGGGACGGUGAACAAACAGUUCACAAUGAUUCAGGACAUCAUGGUCAUAGCGUUAAAGGUUUAUACCAUCAUGUAGAUCAUCAUCAUGGUAACCCACGUGAUCAUCUGAAUGAAGACGGAACAAGAAAACACGAAUACGAUUUUGAUAAUUAUCAUUUUGAUGAUUAUUGGUUAAAUACGCCUAAACAAAACAUGGUGAUAGUAAAUGGACAGAAGAUGAUUAAAGGAGAAGAAACAAAACCAUUUGAAUAUUUAUUUAAUGUUAGUCAAAAAUAUAUUCCUUAUUGGCCUAGAACUAGAUUAAAUGUUUGGGGAAAUUAUAAUUUGGUUUUAAAAACAGAGUUCUUGUUUUUUUUAAUACCCACUCUUAUAAUUUUCAGUAUAGCUGUUCCAUGCUUUACCAUGUUAUACAUGUUAGAUGAAAUUGUUCACACAACAAUGACGGUGAAGGUUAUCGGUCGACAAUGGUAUUGGAUAUAUGAAGUUGAGUCACCUCCAGAUGAUGAGGAUGAAUGAGUAAAAUAAGUGUAAUAAACAAAUAAGUUAAUUUUUUUUUUUUUUUUUU